GAUGAACGCUGGCGGCGUGCUUAACACAUGCAAGUCGAACGGAAAGGCCGAAGCUUGCUUCGGUACUCGAGUGGCGAACGGGUGAGUAACACGUGGGUGAUCUGCCCUGUACUUCGGGAUAAGCUUGGGAAACUGGGUCUAAUACCGGAUAUGACGAUCUCUUGGAUGGGGUUGUGGAAAGCUUUUGCGGUAUGGGAUGAGCUCGCGGCCUAUCAGCUUGUUGGUGGGGUAAUGGCCUACCAAGGCGUCGACGGGUAGCCGGCCUGAGGGGGUGUACGGCCACAUUGGGACUGAGAUACGGCCCAGACUCCUACGGGAGGCAGCAGUGGGGAAUAUUGCACAAUGGGCGCAAGCCUGAUGCAGCGACGCCGCGUGGGGGAUGACGGCCUUCGGGUUGUAAACUCCUUUCGCAAUCGACGAAGCCUUUUGGUGACGGUAGGUUGAGAAGAAGCACCGGCUAACUACGUG
rnacentral:rRNA from 1 species